UGAUCUUUUGUUUUAUAAUCCGUAAUCCAUCAGAUGCUGAUCGCUUCCAAACAACAGUGGUACCAGAUCUUAAAGUUUCUGAUGCAACAUACGGACAUUUUGGAACAAGUGAUUCUGCAGCAUGUGGUGGUUAUCUGUAUAGCACCAGUGGCACCUUUUACAGCCCCAACUAUCCACACAAUUACCAUGACUAUGCAGACUGUACUUGGUACAUCAGACCAGGCAGACAAAUUGUGCAGCUGGAGUUAUCUAA